rnacentral:rRNA from 1 species
UACGUAGGGGGCUAGCGUUGUCCGGAAUCAUUGGGCGUAAAGCGCGUGUAGGCGGCCCGGUAAGUCCGCUGUGAAAGUCGGGGGCUCAACCCUCGGAUGCCGGUGGAUACUGUCGGGCUCGAGUACGGAAGAGGCGAGUGGAAUUCCUGGUGUAGCGGUGAAAUGCGCAGAGUAUCAAGGAGGAACGAGCCGAUUGCGAAG